GACGAACGCUGGCGGCGUGCUUAACACAUGCAAGUCGAACGGUGAAGCGCUUUCCUUUUUGGUUGGUGUGGAUGAGUGGCGAACGGGUGAGUAACACGUGAGUAACCUGCCCCCUUCUUCUGGAUAACCGCAUGAAAGUGUGGCUAAUACGGGAUAUUCUGCGCCUGCUGCAUGGUGGGUGUGGGAAAGAUUGUGCCUUUGGGUGUUUUCGGUGGGGGAUGGGCUCGCGGCCUAUCAGCUUGUUGGUGGGGUGAUGGCCUACCAAGGCGGUGACGGGUAGCCGGCAUGAGAGGGUGGACGGUCACACUGGGACUGAGACACGGCCCAGACUCCUACGGGAGGCAGCAGUGGGGAAUAUUGCACAAUGGGCGCAAGCCUAAUGCAGCGACGCCGCGUGAGGGAUGGAGGCCUUCGGGUUGUGAACCUCUUUCGCCAGUGAAGCAGGCCUGCUCCUUGUGGGUGGGUUGACGGUAGCUGGAGAAGAAGCGCCGGCUAACUACGUG
rnacentral:rRNA from 1 species